ACGCUGGCGGCGUGCCUAAUACAUGCAAGUAGAACGCUGAAGAGAGGAGCUUGCUCUUCUUGAAUGAGUUGCGAACGGGUGAGUAACGCGUAGGUAACCUGCCUUGUAGCGGGGGAUAACUAUUGGAAACGAUAGCUAAUACCGCAUAACAAUGGGUGACGCAUGUCAUUUAUUUGAAAGGGGCAAUUGCUCCACUACAAGAUGGACCUGCGUUGUAUUAGCUAGUAGGUGAGGUAACGGCUCACCUAGGCGACGAUACAUAGCCGACCUGAGAGGGUGAUCGGCCACACUGGGACUGAGACACGGCCCAGACUCCUACGGGAGGCAGCAGUAGGGAAUCUUCGGCAAUGGGGGCAACCCUGACCGAGCAACGCCGCGUGAGUGAAGAAGGUUUUCGGAUCGUAAAGCUCUGUUGUAAGUCAAGAACGAGUGUGAGAGUGGAAAGUUCACACUGUGACGGUAGCUUACCAGAAAGGGACGGCUAACUACGUGCCAGCAGCCGCGGUAAUACGUAGGUCCCGAGCGUUGUCCGGAUUUAUUGGGCGUAAAGCGAGCGCAGGCGGUUUGAUAAGUCUGAAGUUAAAGGCUGUGGCUCAACCAUAGUUCGCUUUGGAAACUGUCAAACUUGAGUGCAGAAGGGGAGAGUGGAAUUCCAUGUGUAGCGGUGAAAUGCGUAGAUAUAUGGAGGAACACCGGUGGCGAAAGCGGCUCUCUGGUCUGUAACUGACGCUGAGGCUCGAAAGCGUGGGGAGCGAACAGGAUUAGAUACCCUGGUAGUCCACGCCGUAAACGAUGAGUGCUAGGUGUUGGAUCCUUUCCGGGAUUCAGUGCCGCAGCUAACGCAUUAAGCACUCCGCCUGGGGAGUACGACCGCAAGGUUGAAACUCAAAGGAAUUGACGGGGGCCCGCAC
rnacentral:rRNA from 1 species